AUAAAAAUUUUUGUUUUUUCUAAAAAUUCUAGCGUUAACUUCAAAAUUUCUUGUUGUACCAAUCUUGGUCGUAUUGGACUCUUGGACACUUGGACUUUAAAAUGUAGCAUCCAAAUAAUUAUAACAAUUAAGUUUGUUAUAUAUAUAUUAUAUUUCUGUUGAUUUGAACACAUCUCACAUCAUCACAAAUUUUAAAAAUAAGGAGGCACCACCCAAUCCAUCCGUGGCAGAACAAUAGGAAAACUAUGUCUCAAUUUUUAACCAUAUAUAAACUUUCAUAUAAACUAAGUUAAGAAAGAGAUUCUUUCUCUAUAAAAUUUCUUUACACUGGAUAAAAAUUUCCACAUAUUAAAAUGGAGUGAAGUUAAGGAUACGUGUUGUUUCAUUAUACACUACUAUAGAUAAUGAUUCCUUCGACUUCGUAAAUUUUUAUAAUACACAUUUCAUUUAUAAAAAUCUUACUAUAUAUCCUUAUCUUAUGCAAGUUGCUUUGGUUAACAGUACUAUAUUAAUGUAUAAUAUUCAUUAUUUAAUAAAAGACCAGAUUUUUUUUGAAGAGAGUUUCUCUUUUGGUUAUCAACGGAUAUAAUGAAUGAUUGACUGGUGGAAGGAAGCACAUACAAUAUUUAAAAGCAAUUACAAUGAAAACAUAUAUAUACAUGUAUAUAUACAUGUAUGAAAAUUUAUAGUACAAAUCUAUAAUGAAAAAAUAACCCCAAAAGAAUUACUUUAAUUAAAACUCUCAAGUGGAUCAAAGUAAAUCUGUUGAAAUCAAUUAAGCAUAUCACUUGAGAUAUGUAUACCUGAUGAUUUUACAGAAUUUAUUGAAGCGAUCUUUUAUGGGAUCAUUACUUAAUUUGUGUUAAUUAACUAAUUACCAUUAGUUUAAUUUGAUCUUGAUAAAAACUUUCUGAAAAAUAAAUUUAAAAUAGAUAUACGUAUA